UGCAGUCGAGCGGAUGAAGGGAGCUUGCUCCUGGAUUCAGCGGCGGACGGGUGAGUAAUGCCUAGGAAUCUGCCUGGUAGUGGGGGAUAACGUCCGGAAACGGGCGCUAAUACCGCAUACGUCCUGAGGGAGAAAGUGGGGGAUCUUCGGACCUCACGCUAUCAGAUGAGCCUAGGUCGGAUUAGCUAGUUGGUGGGGUAAAGGCCUACCAAGGCGACGAUCCGUAACUGGUCUGAGAGGAUGAUCAGUCACACUGGAACUGAGACACGGUCCAGACUCCUACGGGAGGCAGCAGUGGGGAAUAUUGGACAAUGGGCGAAAGCCUGAUCCAGCCAUGCCGCGUGUGUGAAGAAGGUCUUCGGAUUGUAAAGCACUUUAAGUUGGGAGGAAGGGCAGUAAGUUAAUACCUUGCUGUUUUGACGUUACCAACAGAAUAAGCACCGGCUAACUUCGUGCCAGCAGCCGCGGUAAUACGAAGGGUGCAAGCGUUAAUCGGAAUUACUGGGCGUAAAGCGCGCGUAGGUGGUUCAGCAAGUUGGAUGUGAAAUCCCCGGGCUCAACCUGGGAACUGCAUCCAAAACUACUGAGCUAGAGUACGGUAGAGGGUGGUGGAAUUUCCUGUGUAGCGGUGAAAUGCGUAGAUAUAGGAAGGAACACCAGUGGCGAAGGCGACCACCUGGACUGAUACUGACACUGAGGUGCGAAAGCGUGGGGAGCAAACAGGAUUAGAUACCCUGGUAGUCCACGCCGUAAACGAUGUCGACUAGCCGUUGGGAUCCUUGAGAUCUUAGUGGCGCAGCUAACGCGAUAAGUCGACCGCCUGGGGGAGUACGGCCGCAAGGUUAAAACUCAAAUGAAAUUGACGGGGGCCCGCACAAGCGGUGGAACAUGUGGGUUUAAUUCGAAGCAACGCGAAGAACCUUACCUGGCCUUGACUGCUGAGACUUUCCAGAGAUGGAUUGG
rnacentral:rRNA from 1 species